UACGAAGGGGGCUAGCGUUGCUCGGAAUCACUGGGCGUAAAGGGUGCGUAGGCGGGUCUUUAAGUCAGGGGUGAAAUCCUGGAGCUCAACUCCAGAACUGCCUUUGAUACUGAAGAUCUUGAGUCCGGGAGAGUGAGUGGAACUGCGAGUGUAGAGGUGAAAUUCGUAGAUAUUCGCAAGAACACCAGUGGCGAAGGCGGCUCACUGGCUCGGUACUGACGCUGAGGUGCGAAAGCGUGGGGAGCAAACAGGG
rnacentral:rRNA from 1 species